rnacentral:ribozyme from 15 species
GAAGGAAAAGAAGGAGAAAAAGGAGAAAAAAGAAAAGAAGGAGAAAAAGAACUUGGUCACAUAUU